rnacentral:tRNA from 1 species
CUGGGGAUAUAACUCAGUUGGUAGAGUGCUUGCCUUGCAUGCAUAAGGCCCUGGGUUCUAAUCCCUGCCACCAGA